UGGCAUUUGGAAUGCAAUAAAAUGCUCAUAUUAAAACUUUAGAGCGUGAAAUACUAUUUUCAGCAUGGCACGAUUUAAACUUAGUUUCGUUAUUAGCAUUCUUCUCAUGACAAUCACAAUCAAUAUGUCGCAGUUUUUCAUGAGACAAGUAUUGGCGAUAGAAGUUGAUCUUGAGCUCUCGGGACUUAAGCGGAGACUACUCCCACAACUUAACGAGUGGCUUACUUGUGAUAGAAAUUGUGGGUCCCAUAGUGAUUGUAGUGAUGGCUGGUUUUGCCGCCGAUGUAUCAAUGCUUAUCCAUUUAUUCCUACAGUUUGUAGAGGGCCAUUUGGAUAGAAGAUCAAGACCAAUUCGAUUAUAAAUCUUUGAAAGCAUUUGUGUAAUUUCUAUGUGAUUUCAGUAUCUUGUUUUGUUGGUCUUUUGUUCUAUUAUUUCUUUCAUACUUUGUAUGAACAACGAAGAAAAUCAAGAGAGUGUCGUUUGUUUACUAUCCAAAGACGGACUAGACUAGCUUGUUGUAACAUAUAGACAUCAUAUACGAGGAAAACACUUUGAUAGUCC